AACGAACGCUGGCGGCAGGCUUAACACAUGCAAGUCGAACGGACCCUUCGGGGUUAGUGGCGGACGGGUGAGUAACACGUGGGAACGUGCCUUUAGGUUCGGAAUAGCUCCUGGAAACGGGUGGUAAUGCCGAAUGUGCCCUUCGGGGGAAAGAUUUAUCGCCUUUAGAGCGGCCCGCGUCUGAUUAGCUAGUUGGUGAGGUAAUGGCUCACCAAGGCGACGAUCAGUAGCUGGUCUGAGAGGAUGACCCGCCACAUUGGGACUGAGACACGGCCCAAACUCCUACGGGAGGCAGCAGUGGGGAAUCUUGCGCAAUGGGCGAAAGCCUGACGCAGCCAUGUCGCGUGGAUGAUGAAGGUCUUAGGAUUGUAAAAUCCUUUCACCGGUGAAGAUAAUGACUGUAGCCGGAGAAGAAGCCCCGGCUAACUUCGUGCCAGCCGCCGCAGUAAUAC
rnacentral:rRNA from 1 species